rnacentral:rRNA from 1 species
UAUGUAUUGUGUGCCACAGCGCGGUAAUACGGAAGGUCCGGGCGUUAUCCGGAUUUAUUGGGUUUAAAGGGAGCGUAGGCCGUUUGGUAAGCGUGUUGUGAAAUGUCGGGGCUCAACCUGGGCAUUGCAGCGCGAACUGCCAGACUUGAGUGCGCAGGAAGUAGGCGGAAUUCGUCGUGUAGCGGUGAAAUGCUUAGAUAUGACGAAGAACUCCGAUUGCGAAGGCAGCCUGCUGUAGCGCAACUGACGCUGAAGCUCGAAAGCGUGGGUAUCGAACAGG